UACGUAGGUGACCUGCGUUGUCCGGAUUUACUGGGCGUAAAGAGCGCGCAGGCGGUCGUUCAAGUCGAGUGUGAAAGCCCCCGGCUCAACUGGGGAGGGUCAUUCGAUACUGAUCGACUUGAAGGCAGGAGAGGGAAGUGGAAUUCCCGGUGUAGUGGUGAAAUGCGUAGAUAUCGGGAGGAACACCAGUGGCGAAGGCGACUUCCUGGCCUGUUCUUGACGCUGAGGCGCGAAAGCUAGGGGAGCAAACGGG
rnacentral:rRNA from 1 species